ACACAUGCAAGUCGAGGGGCAGCAUGAACUUAGCUUGCUAAGUUUGAUGGCGACCGGCGCACGGGUGAGUAACACGUAUCCAACCUGCCGAUGACUCGGGGAUAGCCUUUCGAAAGAAAGAUUAAUACCCGAUGGCAUAGUUCUUCCGCAUGGUAGAACUAUUAAAGAAUUUCGGUCAUCGAUGGGGAUGCGUUCCAUUAGGUUGUUGGCGGGGUAACGGCCCACCAAGCCUUCGAUGGAUAGGGGUUCUGAGAGGAAGGUCCCCCACAUUGGAACUGAGACACGGUCCAAACUCCUACGGGAGGCAGCAGUGAGGAAUAUUGGUCAAUGGACGAGAGUCUGAACCAGCCAAGUAGCGUGAAGGAUGACUGCCCUAUGGGUUGUAAACUUCUUUUAUACGGGAAUAAAGUGAGGCACGUGUGCCUUUUUGUAUGUACCGUAUGAAUAAGGAUCGGCUAACUCCGUGCCAGCAGCCGCGGUAAUACGGAGGAUCCGAGCGUUAUCCGGAUUUAUUGGGUUUAAAGGGAGCGUAGGCGGACGCUUAAGUCAGUUGUGAAAGUUUGCGGCUCAACCGUAAAAUUGCAGUUGAUACUGGGUGUCUUGAGUACAGUAGAGGCAGGCGGAAUUCGUGGUGUAGCGGUGAAAUGCUUAGAUAUCACGAAGAACUCCGAUUGCGAAGGCAGCCUGCUGGACUGUAACUGACGCUGAUGCUCGAAAGUGUGGGUAUCAAACAGGAUUAGAUACCCUGGUAGUCCACACAGUAAACGAUGAAUACUCGCUGUUUGCGAUAUACAGUAAGCGGCCAAGCGAAAGCGUUAAGUAUUCCACCUGGGGAGUACGCCGGCAACGGUGAAACUCAA
rnacentral:rRNA from 1 species